rnacentral:misc_RNA from 1 species
UAUGAAGAACGCAGUGAAAUGCGAUAAGUAAUGCGAAUUGCAGAAUUCAGUGAGUCAUCGAAUCUUUGAACGCACAUUGCGCCCUGUGGUAUUCCGCAGGGCAUGCCUGUUCGAGCGUCAUUUCAACCCUCAAGCUCUGCUUGGUGUUGGGCCCUGCCCGCUGCGGCCGGCCCUAAAGACAGUGGCGGUGCCGCCUGGCCCUGAGCGUAGUACAUCUCUCGCUCCAGUGCCCGGUGGUAGCCUGCCAGAACCCCAACUCUCGUGGUUGACCUCGGAUCAGGUAGGGAUACCCGCUGAACUUAAGCAUAUCAAUAAGCGGAGGA